rnacentral:lncRNA from 1 species
UGAUUCUUCAUCUAUUCUUUGUGCUCUUUCAGAUGACAAAGUGUUGGCGGGGUCCCAGACGCAUCGGGUGCGAUGUUCCCUUGUUAGAUACACCUUAUUUAACCAGUUUUAAUUUUUUUAAAAGAUUUUUCUCUAAGGUAUGUAUAUUGUUUAUAAAUUAUAAAAUCUCAGAUUCAGUAGAUGUUCUUUGUUAGUCUGGAACUGAAAACUUGCAAAAACAAAGAUAUAAAUAUUGUGUUAAUUUAAACACAAAUGACUUAUCAGAUUUUCAUUUCAAAUUUUAGUCUAGGGUGAUUAUUCCCAAUUUGAAAUAUUCCAAAAUUCAUAAUUUCAUUUUCAUAGCAGAGAACACUUUGGAGCAGAAUAUGACCACUAUUUGUACCACAAUAAUGUGCAUAUGGCUUUAGGGCAUUGUUAUAGUUCAGAAAAUAUCAAAUUUGCUCAGUGCCAGAUGUCUGACUAAUUUUAUAUGGUACUGCUUAUAUCAUUAAAAAAUGUCAAAAAAGCCUGCUACUGAUAACACUAUGGGUAAUAGUGAUAAGAUUCAAAGAUGAUAAAUAUAUUUUACAUUUUUAUUGCAUUUAUAUUCUUGUUUUUUAUAUUAAAUAAAAAUUUUUCUGAAAGAUCUGAAUUUUUUCUUUUUAAUUUUUAUCAUAUAUAUAUUCCAAAAUCUGAAACAAUCUGUUCCAUACAUUUUGGAUUGGGUAUAUUUAUCCUGUAUUUAAUUAAUGUUCAGUCAUACUUUGCCCCCACAUUGCUUUAUUGUGUAAGCUAUAAAGCAAUGUGGGGUAUUGUGUGCUAUAAAGCAAUAAAUUAAUCUGAAAAAUAUCAAUUUUCAGAUUAAUUCAGGAUAUCCGAG